rnacentral:tRNA from 1 species
CAGGGAGACAACAAAAUGUUUAAUAUUAUUAUUUUGUCACCUUAGGUCGAUCGGUAUCUCACGUUUUUAAUUUAUUAAGAUUUUCAUUUCCUAAGUUUUUCUAGGUCACACCCAUUAUUUUUCCUGGGCCAUUAGCUCAGGUGGUUAGAGCGCACCCCUGAUAAGGGUGAGGUCCCUGGUUCAAGUCCAGGAUGGCCCAUAUCUCUAUGUUGGGGGUAUAGCUCAGUUGGUAGAGCGCCUGCUCUGCAAGCAGGAUGUCAGCGGUUCGAGUCCGCUUACCUCCACUGAUUACCACCUCUUCCAUAACCGAUAGAGAGGAAAUGUUUUGAGUUGUGAUCAAAUUCUGAAAGAAUCUAGCUUCCUAAUGAAAUCAUUAAGAUGCUGGACUCAUUGAAUUAAUUUCAUUGCUUUCAGAGAACCUUGACAACUGCAUAGAUUAUUUUUAAAGACAAUAAGCAUCUUUAAUGAUGCAGAUUUAUUAUUUGUGCGAAUGCAUUAAUAACAAUUCUAUUAAGCUGAUGCUUCAAUUUUUGAAGUUAUU